GAUGAAUGCUGGCGGCGUGCCUAACACAUGCAAGUCGAGCGGCAGCGCGAGUAGUUUACUACUUGGCGGCGAGCGGCGGACGGCUGAGUAACGCGUGGGAACGUGCCCCAAAGUGAGGGAUAACGCACCGAAAGGUGUGCUAAUACCGCAUAUGGUCUUCGGAUUAAAGAAUUUAUUCGCUUUGGGAGCGGCCCGCGUCGGAUUAGGUAGUUGGUAGGGUAAUGGCCUACCAAGCCGACGAUCCGUAGCUGGUCUGAGAGGAUGAUCAGCCAGACUGGAACUGGGACACGGUCCAGACUCCUACGGGAGGCAGCAGUGAGGAAUCUUCCACAAUGGGGGGGAGCCUGAUGGAGCAACGCCGCGUGCAGGAUGAAGGCUUUCGGGUUGUAAACUGCUUUUAUAAGUGAAGAAUAUGACGGUAACUUAUGAAUAAGCACCGGCUAACUACGUGCCAGCAGCCGCCGUAA
rnacentral:rRNA from 1 species